CGUGGGCAGGGCGCACCUGGCAGCCCCACCCCCCCUUCCUCCGUCCCUCCUGGUGAGAAGCCGUCAGGCGGAGGGAGCCCAGCAUCCUGGACCCUCACAGCUGGAGGGGCCUCAGAGGCCACCUAGCCCAGCCCCUGGUUUUACAGAGGGGGAAACUGAGGCCCACUGAGCCAAAGUGACUCGCGCAAGGUCACACAGAUCAUAGGUUUUCUGCUAAAACCAAAGAAUGAAGGCACGAUUGGGGCUGUUCAAAGUGCACGGUCUAUUCCUUAGUCUCAUCGAUCGCUAGAAUUCUCCUUAAAUAAGCGCAGGACAAGGGAGAAGAUUGACUUCACUGAAGGGGACGCCUAAUUUAGACAUCUUAGGGCAGGAGAGAAGCAGCUGCAACACACCUACCUUCGUGAAUCGGCUGAAGUUUGUGGACCAUUUGUCACAUGUCACACAACGGGAGCAAAAGUCUAGACUCUCUUAACCUAAUUCUCUUGGAAAAUACCCCUAACCGUGAGAUGGGAAGAAGCAGACCUACACAAGGGCCUCCAUCUAGAGGCAGGAGACUUUGGAAAUCUUCACUGAACAAAGUACUCUAAGAAAAUUUGAGGGAGCAGUUACUCUCAAGAAUUUGAAUUUUACCCUCUGGCCAAGAGGGAGCCACUGAAGGGUGUGUGAUCCAGGUCUUUGUGUAUGGAUCUGGAUUUCAAGGAAAACGACGACGGACUGGACCAGACACAGACUCACAGAAGAGACCUCUGAGGUUACAUGCUCCAUGAAUCCCCUCUACCCGAUGGUUAUCCAGUCUUUGCUUGCAGAGCCUUCAGUGAUAAGAAACCUACUACAGCUCCUGAGGCAGAGCAUUCUACUUUUGAACCACUGUAAUUAUUACAAAAAAUGUCCUGAGAGCAAAUUAAAACCUGCAUCUCAGCAGCAUCUACCCAUUGUUUUCAAUUCUGAUCUGUAAAGUCAAGCAAAACAAGCUUCUUCCUUCUUCAGCGUGACAGUCCCUCAGAUCCUGAAGAUGACUAUCAUGUUCCCCCUCUAAGCCUUUCAUCAUUUGGGAUAAAUGUCCCCUUAUGCAGGAUGAUCUCAAGGCCCUUCACCAUCCUUUUCACUUUCCUCUGCAUAUCUCAGUUGGUUAAUAUUCUUCCUAAAGUUUGGUGUCCAGAACUGAACACGGCAGUCUCUAUUGGGCCCAUCACCUUCCUUGUUCUGGACACUAUGCCUGCAUUAAUGGAUCAUGACAGUUUUUUGGUUGCCAUAUUACACUGUUGACUCAUACUGAAUUUUUGUCCACCAAAAUGCCCUGAUCUUUGCCACGUACCUCCCCCAUCUUAUACGUGUAAAGCUUACUACAGUAACUCAAAUGAAAGACUUAAAUCAGUUGUGGUGUUAUAGGGAAUGGAAAGGAAGGAAUGAAUGCAUAAGUCAUUAGAAAGUAGUAAGUGGCCGGGCUUUUUUUAAAACUGAAUU